GAUGAACGCUGGCGGCGUGCCUAAUACAUGCAAGUCGAGCGAACGGACGAGAAGCUUGCGUCUCUGAUGUUAGCGGCGGACGGGUGAGUAACACGUGGAUAACCUACCUAUAAGACUGGGAUAACUUCGGGAAACCGGAGCUAAUACCGGAUAAUAUUUUGAACCGCAUGGUUCAAAAGUGAAAGACGGUCUUGCUGUCACUUAUAGAUGGAUCCGCGCUGCAUUAGCUAGUUGGUAAGGUAACGGCCUACCAAGGCGACGAUGCAUAGCCGACCUGAGAGGGUGAUCGGCCACACUGGAACUGAGACACGGUCCAGACUCCUACGGGAGGCAGCAGUAGGGAAUCUUGCGCAAUGGGCGAAAGCCUGACCGAGCAACGCCGCGUGAGUGAUGAAGGUCUUCGGAUCGUAAAACCCUGUUAUUAGGGAAGAACAUAUGUGUAAGUAACUGUGCACAUCUUGACGGUACCUAAUCAGAAAGCAACGGCUAACUACGUG
rnacentral:rRNA from 1 species